rnacentral:rRNA from 1 species
GACGAACGCUGGCGGCGUGCUUAACACAUGCAAGUCGAACGGAAAGGCCCUGCUUUUGUGGGGUGCUCGAGUGGCGAACGGGUGAGUAACACGUGAGUAACCUGCCCUUGACUUUGGGAUAACUUCAGGAAACUGGGGCUAAUACCGGAUAGGAGCUCCUGCUGCAUGGUGGGGGUUGGAAAGUUUCGGCGGUUGGGGAUGGACUCGAGGCUUAUCAGCUUGUUGGUGGGGUAGUGGCUUACCAAGGCUUUGACGGGUAGCCGGCCUGAGAGGGUGACCGGCCACAUUGGGACUGAGGUACGGCCCAGACUCCUACGGGAGACAGCGGUGGGGAAUAUUGCACAAUGGGCGGGAGCCUGAUGCAGCAACGCCGCGUGCGGGAUGACGGCCUUCGGGUUGUAAACCGCUUUCGCCUAUGACGAAGCGUGAGUGACGGUAAUGGAUAAAGAAGCACCGGCUAACUACGUG